AUUUGGCCCCGCGGCCCCAUUUUCAAAGCGCAGGUUCCGAUUUCCCGAGAGAUGGCAAAGGCCCUGGCAGGAAGUUUACAGGGUUUAACGUAAACAAGUUCUGGGGGAUUCUUUAAUAAUAAUAAUAGAGAAUUCCGCGUGCGCAGGGCGGGAGGGGGGAGUUGGCCUAAUGCCCCUGUGGGCUCGGCCUGCCGCCGCCGCGGGGGCCUCUGACACUGCGCGCCAGGCCAGGUUCCUGAGAGCAGACAGCGCGGGCGGGGAGCGCCGGCAAGGGCGGCCCUCGCGCGCCUGGCUGCCAGCCCGCAGGGGGCUCACACGCAGACCUGCCCUUGCCACCUCAGCGCUCGGGUGCGGGCUGGGGGCGGUGGAGCCAGGAAAGGUGGUGCGGAGAGCGGAGCGCAGGACAGCGCAAGAGCCCCGGCGCAGCGCGGCGCGCACAGACCCAGGAUUUGUGAAGAGGUGACCCAAAUUUCAGGACAAUGUUGGAUGCAAACGGAUUUGCCAGCAAUUGCGUCACUGUCAAAACCAGCUCUGCCCGUGUCUUCCGAAGAUACCAAGUGAAAUACGUGUAGAUGGGAUUUACAUCUGAAAAACCAAGUGAGAAACUGAAGACAAGAGAGGGUGAGUGGCUUACCCAGUUUGGCACAACUGACCCCAACCUAGCCCUCCUUGAGGACUGAGUGCAUGAGAGAUCCUGAGCCACAGCCUCCCAGCCCUGCUCCUCUCGAAUUUCUGACCUACAGGAACUGCAAGAAGUAAUGAAAGACUGCUGUUUAAAGCCACUGCAUUUUGGCAUGAUUUGUUAUGCAGUCAUAGGUAACCAGAAAACAUCGGAUUUACAUUUUAAGGAUUUGGUGCAUGGGAUGGGCUCAGCUGGGCAGUUCUUCUAUUCCAUGUGAUGGUACUGGAGCUGCAGUCAUUCAGAGGCUCAACUGGGCUGAACGUGCAAGGUUUCUUGCUCACGUGGCCAUCAGUGGUGCUGGCUGCUUUUGGGAGCUCCGCUGGACUUCUGACCAGAGCUCCUCAGCUCACCUCUCUAUAUCCUUGCCCUGUGGCUCAGGCUUCUAACAAUACAGAGGCUGGAUUCCAAGAGGAGGGAAUUAGAAGCUUUCAGCCUUCUUAAGACCAGGAUUCAGAUGUCCCAGACUGUCACUGUAUUGACUGGAGCAUUUACAGCCCAGGCUAGUAAUUUUUCCAUCUUGGGCAGGAAUGGGUGGCAUAUGCUGGGGGUAGGGGUAGCAUUGUUGGGGACUGUCUUUGGAGCUGUGUGCCAAGGAGUAAAUUGCUGGGCUGCUUUCUACCUGAGGAAGUCCACUGUGCUUGCUUGUGGAGAGUGGAUUGUGUGCUCAGAGUCCACCAGGAUUUCAGAAUCUGAGCCCUGCUCCCUUUGCCUCAGCCUGUGCAUUAGGGCCCUGUGGUGAGAGCACCGAGCCAUUGUGAAUCAAGGACCCUCCCUCGACCUGCAUACUGACAGGCCAGAGGAGCUUGCUUGAUUUUGGUCCUAGGCUCCUGCCUGUGGGUUGGAUUCCAGGGGCACUCCCUCCUCCACAAACCAGACAGUGGCAGGUACAGCCCCUCAAUGGAAAUUGCCCACACUUCACCCUAAAGACAGAUCCUGCUGUUCAGCAACAAUGUGAGUGGCCCACACAUUUGUCCAGCAUGAAACUGUUUGCAGAUUCCUUUCCAGUACACAGUCCCAUCAGCUAGUCACAUCACGAUGACAACUCCUCGAAGCACCUUUUGGUUUGCAGUUGUGUAGCUUAGAAGUAAGAGCCUGCACGGCUUCAGGAAUUCACAGAAGGAACACACUUUGUGCUUGGAGAAGUUAAUUAUAGGAAUAUCCUGCAACCUGCUGCUCUGAGCCUGGGCACCUGGGGUGUUUCCCCGGAGGUCCUGUGUAUGAGGAUACUCAUCAGCAUGGGGUUUGGGAAGGCUAGCACUGGAGACAACCUAAGUGGUCCUCUCCAGGGGAGUAGGUAAGAGCCCUACAGCAGUGAAAAGCAUUGAAGGAAAAGUGUGUUCAGCAGUGCUCUUAAUCUGAUCAGAGUAACCUGAACACAUUCUAAACACAGGGCAUUUAGAACUGGGGUAGAAGCAUUAGAGCACCAUAGAUACAAACUCAGAUUCUGAAGGUAAAUGCCCAGGUUCAAAUCCAAGCCCCAUCGCCAAGUGACCACGACUCCCCCAAGUCACCUGAUCUCUGUGUUUACAUCCUCAAAGUUAAGUAGUCAGGAAAGGGGGCUUGGGGCUUGCCACAUGGAUGGUUGCCACUCUCCUUUGAAAAGUGUAGUCCCCCAAAACAGGUGGAACAGGGAAGGGUCCAAUUAGAAGGCUGAUUACCAGCUGCCGUGUAUAUGCCAGAGCUGCUGGCUAGUGAUAAAUAACUGAAACCCAGGGGGACAGCAGAGCUAGGGUGACCAUACAUUCUAGGAAAGAAAAGAUGCCUGUUGUCCUGGCUUUUUAUCCAGCUUAGACAAAGAUGGGCAAAGAAAAUAAUUUAGAAAAUGGUAGAGAUGGGCACAGAGAAAGGGCACUGAGGGAGGCACAAACAGAAGGCCAAGUGAUGGUGGAGGCAGACAUUGGAGAAAUGCCUUUGCAAGCCAGGGAAUGCCAAGGAUGCUGGCGACCCUGGGAGCGGGAAGAACCUGGAACAUGCCCUCCCUCAGAGUCUCCAGAAGGAACUGGCCGUUCAUCACCUUUCGGACUUCUGGCCUCCGGAACUGCGCAAGAAAACGUUUCUGCUGUUGGAGGCCAUCCAGCUGGUGGUCAUUUGUUAUGGUUGCCACAGAAAAUGAAUAUAGAUUUAGACAUCUAAUUUGCAUAUAUAGAUGUGCAUGUGUAUUU
rnacentral:lncRNA from 1 species